UAUGAGAAAUCAUUCCAAAAAUUAAUCGACCUAUUCGACCUACUUGCCAAACGUGAAAAUGUGAAUAUGUUUUUGAGGAGGCUAUAUGUAAAUUAUACAUAUACGCGUAUGUACCAGCAAGAAUCUUCUCCCUAGUUAGAUAGUAUGCCACAAAAAAUAUUUUGCAUCCGAGUCGACCGAGUCGUCAUUGUUGGUCUUCAAUCAUCGUGGGCGAUGACAUCAUCGUUUCCUUCGCUGUGCGAUUAGUGCUUACAUCGGCCGGCAGGUCGCGUGUCGUGUACCGAAUAAAAAUAACCCACGCCGCGUCCGACAUUGGUCCUCGCGCGUAGUACCGUAGUCGUGCGUUCGUGCCAGUGGCCGCCGCACCUUUGUCGUGUGUUUAUGCCUGUGCGAUAUAAGUGAUAGUAAAGUGCAGUGCAUAGUAUCAUAAUAUAGUGUCGUAUAUUGUUAUAUUAUUCGAGAAACGGAAACCGUCUUCGCCGCCGUCGUUUCACUAAUUGAUGUCCUGCUUUGAAUAUUAUUAGUCAAAUUUGACCAUCGGCCAUGAAUUCGUGUUUUCCGCCAUUGGCCGCUCUAACGCUGAAAGAUAAACGCCGAAAUUCCGCUUAUUUGGAGACCACCGGAAAUCAAACCAGUGGAAAACCAAAUGUUAUACAAGACAUGGAAAUGUUUUAUAUAAAACAAAUUGCUCAUAAUCUUAAGAUACCAGAUGCCUUCCCUAUCGCGCAAGUCUGCCCGGGGUGGGUCUUGCUACGACGGAGAACAGGCAGUGAAUGUCAAUGCUGGUCGUUUCGCCGGGCCUUUUAUAUCCGGUGUUCUGUGACAGAUAACAAGAAACCGUAGAAACCCCAAUAGUGCAAUCGCCGAUAAACGCAUAAUUUAAAUAAAAGUUAUUAUAAGAAUAAAAUAAUUAUAAUAAUAAUAAUAAAAUUAGGAAUAAGAAUAAUAAAAAUGAUAAUAAUAAAAAGGAAAAGAAGAAUCUAGAACCUUAUCCGUGCAUCCCCCCCCACACCGAACGGAAAAAUCCCCUCUAUCGGACAAAAAAUUAAAAGUUAAAAUAUUAAACAAUUAUUUAUUAUGUACAAACUUUUCACAGGAUUUUAAGGACUUUUCCAGAGUUUUUUCCAACCCGUUCUUUUCGUAAGUUUGCGUCUUUUGAAAGCCGUGCGUAUAUACGAUUUUUUCGCCGUUUGCGUUCAUACAGCGGUUGCGAUCGCGGUAACGAGUACGACCGCCGACGACAGUCCCCCGGACGUUUUUCUUCGUUUUUUUUUUUGCACACAUAAGGUCGCGGACGCCGAUCGAUGUACGUGAUAAUGUGAUAUUUAUUCUAUUGUUAUUGCUUAAAUGUACACGUAUAUAAUAUACGUUUGAUUCGAAGCCCAUUUGUCGAUGUACAAUAUACUGUUUUUUGUUUUAUUCAAUAAAUUGCAUAUUUGCAUUAUAUAUUUAUAUUAUUUUUGUUGUUCUCCGUAGCUAAACUUUGACGUCAUACUUAUAUCUUCAACCACGGGUUGUGCUGUAUACCAUAAAACCGUUUCUCGACGACGUUUGUGUCGCAAAAUACGGGUGUAUUAUUGGUGUAUACUCGUACCUAUAUGUAAUAAUACAUGAUAAGUUUUUUGUAGGUGUAUUUAUGAGUUAUUAAUAACAUGUUAUACGUCUUUAUAAAUCGUAAUUUAAAUUAUAAUGUCAUUGGAUGAUGUGUAAUAAAUUAAUAAGUGUUUCUUUAUUUUAAAAUAUUUUUGUUUAAUACAUUUAAUGAUUUUUGGGGAUUAUGGGUGACUGAAGGUGAUGUGGGGGCUUUGCUCCGAAGUCCGCACAGUAAUGUGAUAUUGAAUUUUGUAUGGAAUGCUCGUUCAUCCAACUUCCACUGAGUCCCCCUUCUAGUUUUUUUCCAAAUCAAGCACUGAUAGCAACAAAUGUAUUAUUUUAUAAACGAAAUUAAUAUUGUCUAAAAAGUUUAAAAAAAAAUACGAGAUUUUAAAAUAUGGUAAUGUUAUUGAUAAUAAGUAUUAAUAAAUGUACUCAUUUAACAUAUAUUUUAUUUACAUAAAUAUUAGAUGAAUAUAAUAUGUAUAGUAUUUAUUUGUGUGAUGUUAAAAAUUAAAUCUUCCAAAUAUCCGAAUAAUAUUAAUUAUCUUGUGUGUAUUUCACGGGUUAAUUACUAAUGCUCCGUGACUGGGAUUGACCAUAUAACCUUAAUAUAACGACCUAACGUACAAGUAUCUAUACAAUUUACGUACAUAUAUAUUUGACGCGGUUACGGCGGUAUAGACUAUAGGUGCUCGGCGUGUCUGCGGUGAGCCGGUCAGGAAUCAGGAUAAAAGAACAACACGAAUUUCACUAUUCGUACGAUGUAUUAUUACUAUUGUUAUUAUUUUAUUGAUGAUUAACAACGAUACACAAUAUAGCUAGUUGUCAAAUGUCACCAUGACAGGUGUUGACGACAGCAUAAAAAAGAAUGUAGUAUGUAUGUUGUUGGUAAGACGAUUCGCGCAAGAAAGCGAGACGCAUAGCGGCCGGUACUCGUCCGGACCCAUUUGUCCUCCAGCCCUGCGCUGUGCCUUUUUGGCGUGCGGGAGAGUCGUCGGUGUCACGUCGUCGUUGCCCGUGGUGGCGGUUGGUAAGGCGCAGACCGGUCAUCGGUGCGGUGCCUGUACUUAGUACCGUCGACCGAUGCGUACCGCGUCAAAUCGUUAGUAAUUUACAAAAGCUCUACAAUGAAUCGUUACGUAUGCGAUCGACUGCUUGAUGGACACGAAACAUCUUAGAUAACGGUAUACACGCGAUCGCCCCUUCCCCAUUAUCGUCUCUGGCUUAAUUUUUUAACGUAAUUAUUUCGUAGUUAAUUAUUCGUAUUUCGUACGAAUCAUAGAUAUCAUAGAUAUUAUUAUGUUUGCCCUUUAAAAAUCGACCCCCCCUCACCCGUUAUUGUGGCCUAGUUCCGCCUCUGCGGCCAGACUCGUAUUUAGAGGGGGCACGGGUAGGCACAUGCCCAGGGGCGGCACGUCACGGUGAUCUAUAAAAACGAGAUGGAACUCUGAAGUUAACUUGGGAGAGUAAGGAGGGAGCAUCAAUAUAACCAUUAAUUAUAGCUUACUCAAAACCACUAUAGAUUUGCUGUCAUACGUCUAUACUAUACAUCAACCAAGGAAAUCAGUCCAAGCUUAUUAUAUAGAGACAGAAAGGUAAUCGUGCUUAACAUGCUCUAUUCUUAAAAUAUUGGCGGCACAUGAUAUAAGAAACCCCUCUGGACUUCCUCUGUAUGUGAGAGCAGUCAGUUUUCGUGAACGGAUCCCAAAGGACGGACGUACACACUAGCAACAAGGAUCUACCAGGGAACAAUACAGCGGCGUUUUAAGUGCGAGGAGGUCAGCUUAUGGAUUUCUUCGACGUUCGAAUAUUAUACUUACUAUAAUAUUAUUAAUUGUAAGGAUAAAUUAUAAUAUGCCCAGGGGCGCCGCGGUAUGGUUAGAGCGAGACUGUACUGCAUCGCGCACGUACAAAGGUAACGAAAAACGGUAUAAAAGUCGGCGGGCGGCGAUGUACCUAACAGCAUUACAGCUAUAUAGUGAUAUAAAAACAUUAAAAACGUACUAAAGCGUUUGACGUCGAAUAGAUUGCCACGGACCGGCGCAACAAUACGACACCCGCCUUUUACAAUCGCGCGAUCCGGCGGCGACGGCGACGCGGUGACUAAAUAUUAUAUAGCGAUACCCGGAGUGGACAACGAUGAGCACCACCGCCUUGACGGGCUUAACGACACCAUGUAUAUAGCGGUCGUGGGAAUCGUUACUAAUUUACGAGAGCUCGGCGGUUAAUCGUCACCUGCGUAACGACGCGGCCGACUACUGCUUGAUGUACACACGGAACGUCAUAUACAUAUAACCGCGUAUAGUUAGAGCGAGACUGUACUGCAUUGCACGUACAAAUAAGGUAACGACAAGCGGUGGAGCGCGUAUAGAGAAGUUGACGGGCGGCGACGGGACAACCGGCAAAGAAGCCGUACAUCGACGUUACGAAUAUUAAACACGUACCGAAACGUUUAUUAACAUCGCCGAGUGGGCUGCCGUGUAUGAAGUGGUGGCACACUCGGACGCACGUCAAUGCGUAAAAACGGGCCGAUGUACGACGUUUACGCGAAAUUCGUUUUCGACGAACGGCCCAACGCAAUCGGGGGGACGCAUAUUAUACAAAAAUAAUACGGCGACCGAUAAAGCGGCAGCCCGUCCAAAUCGCAAAUGGAAUUUUGCGAUCGUACAAAAAUAUUAUGUCGGUGUGUCGGAGACGUCUCAACGGGAUAUUGUAAUAAUAUAAAAAAAACAAAUAUCGUGCGAAUGAGAUUAUACGGAAACACACAAACAACGUUUUCGGCAUGUCUUUCGAGUCAACGACGGUACUGAACGAGGUCCAUUAUAAUAUAAUUAUAUAUUAUAUCCUGACUGUCAGGGGCGGAUUCAGACCAAGAUAACAG